rnacentral:rRNA from 1 species
CGCAUAAGACCACAGCGCCACAUGGCGCAGGGGUCAAAGGAGUAAUCCGCUUUAAGAUGAGCUCGCGUCCCAUUAGCUAGUUGGUGAGGUAACGGCCCACCAAGGCGACGAUGGGUAGCCGACCUGAGAGGGUGAUCGGCCACACUGGAACUGAGACACGGUCCAGACUCCUACGGGAGGCAGCAGUGGGGAAUAUUGGGCAAUGGGCGAAAGCCUGACCCAGCAACGCCGCGUGAUUGAAGAAGGCCUUCGGGUUGUAAAGAUCUGUCCUAUGGGACGAAAAAAAUGACGGUACCAUAGGAGGAAGCCCCGGCUAACUACGUGCCAGCAGCCGCGGUAAUACGUAGGGGGCGAGCGUUGUCCGGAAUUACUGGGCGUAAAGGGUGCGUAGGCGGCGCCUUAAGUCAGAUGUGAAAUAUCCAUGCUUAACGUGGAGGGUGCAUCUGAUACUGGGGCACUUGAGUGCAGGAGAGGAAAGUGGAGUUCCUAGUGUAGCGGUGAAAUGCGUAGAUAUUAGGAGGAACACCAGUGGCGAAGGCGACUUUCUGGACUGUAACUGACGCUGAGGCACGAAAGCGUGGGGAGCAAACAGGAUUAGAUACCCUGGUAGUCCACGCUGUAAACGAUGGAUACUAGGUGUAGGGGGCGAUAGCUCUCUGUGCCGCAGCAAACGCAAUAAGUAUCCCGCCUGGGGAGUACGAUCGCAAGGUUGAAACUCAAAGGAAUUGACGGGGGCCCGCACAAGCAGCGGAG